rnacentral:rRNA from 1 species
UACGAAGGGGGGCUAGCGUUGCUCGGAAUCACUGGGCGUAAAGGGUGCGUAGGCGGGUCUUUUAAGUCAGACGUGAAAUCCCUCGGCUUAACCGGGGAACUGCGUCUGAUACUGGAUGGCUUGAGUUUGGGAGAGGGACGCGGAAUUCCAGGUGUAGCGGUGAAAUGCGUAGAUAUCUGGAGGAACACCGGUGGCGAAGGCGGCAUCCUGGACCAACACUGACACUGAGGAGCGAAAGCCAGGGGAGCAAACGGG